CCUACGGGAGGCAGCAGUAACGAAUAUUGGGCAAUGGAGGAAACUCUGAUCCAGCCAUGCCGCGUGCAGGGAUGACGGCCCUAUGGGUUGUAAACUGCUUUUAUACAAGAAGAAACCCUCCUACGUGUAGGAGCUUGACGGUACUGUAAGAAUAAGGACCGGCUAACUCCGUGCCAGCAGCCGCGGUAAUACGGAGGAUCCGAGCGUUAUCCGGAUUCAUUGGGUUUAAAGGGUCCGCAGGCGGACUUUUAAGUCAGAGGUGAAAGCCUACAGCUCAACUGUAGAACUGCCUUUGAUACUGAAAUACUUGAGUUUUUGUGAAGUGAGUGGAAUGUGUGGUGUAGCGGUGAAAUGCAUAGAUAUCACACGGAACACCGAUUGCGAAGGCAGAUCACUAACCUAAUACUGACGCUCAUGAACGAAAGCGUGGGGAGCGAACAGGAUUAGAUACCCUGGUAG
rnacentral:rRNA from 1 species